rnacentral:rRNA from 1 species
UACGUAGGGCGCGAGCGUUGUCCGGAAUUAUUGGGCGUAAAGAGCUCGUAGGUGGUUUGUCGCGUUGGUCGUGAAAUCUCACGGCUUAACUGUGAGCGCGCGGGCGAUACGGGCAGACUUGAGUACUGCAGGGGAGACUGGAAUUCCUGGUGUAGCGGUGGAAUGCGCAGAUAUCAGGAGGAACACCAAUGGCGAAGGCAGCUCGCUGGGACGUGACUGACGCUGAGACGCGAAAGCGUGGGGAGCAAACAGG